GACAGAGGAUGCAAGCGUUAUCCGGAAUGAUUGGGCGUAAAGCGUCUGUAGGUGGCUUUUCAAGUCCGCCGUCAAAUCCCCGGGCUCAACCCGGGAACUGCUUCUGAUACUGGCGGACUUGAGGCCAGUAGGGGUCACUAGAACUGACGGUGGAGCGGUGAAAUGCGUAGAUAUCGUCAGGAAUGCCGGUGGUGAAGGCGGUGGUCUGGGCCGGCACUGACGCUGAGGAGCGAAAGCGUGGGUAGCAAACAGG
rnacentral:rRNA from 1 species